UACGUAGGGGGCAAGCGUUGUCCGGAUUUAUUGGGCGUAAAAGGCUUGUAGGUGGCCACGCCAAGUCGGCUGUGAAAUCUCCCGGCUCAACUGGGAGGGGUCAUUCGAUACUGGUGGGCUCGAGGCCGGUAGGGGGAAGUGGAAUUCCCGGUGUAGUGGUGGAAUGCGUAGAUAUCGGGAGGAACACCAGUGGCGAAGGCGGCUCACUGGCCCGGUACUGACGCUGAGGCGCGAAAGCGUGGGGAGCAAACAGG
rnacentral:rRNA from 1 species